UGGGGGAGUUUAGGGCGAUUUGGGGGAAUAUGGGGGAUAUGGGGGUGACAAUGGGGUGUCGGUGUGGGGUGACCCCUCUGUCCGUCCGUCCGUCCGUCUCCCCCAGCCCUAACGAAGCUGCGGAGACGUUGGGCGACAACACGGCGUGCUGGAGCGCCUCCGUGCGGUACCGAGUGGGAGUGGUGGCCACGUGGCUGGAGGACUCCACCCCGUACCUCAACUUCACCCCAGGACAAACCCACAGCGCCGUGCUGAGACACCACUACCAGGAAAAUGGAGACCACUGUGAAAAGAUGGGAGAGAAGAAAAUGGAGCCGCAAUGGGGCCUGGAGAAGGACUGCAUCCCCCCCGAUCCCCCCCUCCUGUUCCGCUGCCCCCUGGGACCCCAUGGGGGGGGCAAAGUGCUGCUGAGUGCCAGCGUGAAACCCCCAUCCCAUAAACAGCCCCCGUCCCGCUCCCGGUUCUGCUCCCUGCUCCGCUUCUCCUUCGGUUCCGAGCUGUUCCUGAACGGCAUCGCUGGGGCUGAGAGGGGGGCACAGGUGGGGGGGUCCUAAA
rnacentral:lncRNA from 1 species